UACAGAGGGGGCAAGCGUUGUUCGGAAUUACUGGGCGUAAAGGGCGCGUAGGCGGCCUUCUAAGUCAGACGUGAAAUCCCUCGGCUCAACCGAGGAACUGCGUCUGAUACUGGAAGGCUUGAAUCCGGGAGAGGGAUGUGGAAUUCCAGGUGUAGCGGUGAAAUGCGCAGAUAUCAGGAGGAACACCGAUGGCGAAGGCAGGUCUCUGGGCAUUAACUGACGCUGAGGAGCGAAAGCAUGGGGAGCGAACAGG
rnacentral:rRNA from 1 species